CCCUAAGCAGGACUCACUGAGCUUUACCAAGGAGCACAUAUUUGUUCUUUUUAUACCAAGACAGAAGGCCAGCUUCCUUCUCCCUAUCCCUCCUCCUUGAUCUUCUCUCUCACAAAUGGCUGUUUACUUUGAAUUAUAGGCCAAUUAGUAAACCCUAGAGGUAGAGGUACUUAAGGAAUAUCUGAGAGGCAGUUAAUGUCACGACAACACUUGUGACAUCACAGAAGAAUCUACUACUCUCCAGGUUACAAGAGAUUUUUCGUUGAGGUCUUAAUGGUGAUGUGACUGAGAACUGCCUUGUCCUACCUGCUAAACAGCUUUCCUUACAUUGACCAGAUUAGAGGGUGCCCUUUCCAGGAGUGUCUCCUGUGACACAGUGGAAACCUUUACAUACAUCUCUCUAAACCUAGAGACAUCUCUUUGCUUCAUUAGUGGUUACAUAUUCUGAAUGGAGAUAGUCAGGGGCUUGUUACUGGUAGAAAAAAUUAGGAACAUGGAGGGGAAGAGAUUCUUCUAGAUAAUAUUUUUAAUCCCAGUCAAUUUCUGUGACAUACAAAUCAAUUUUCUAGGUUUUCUCUGUUUCCUAUGGCCAGUGUUUUUCCUACAGACCUUUAAAUGAAUGAAUAUUUUACUACAUUUUCCAAUUUUACAUUCCUUGAUAGUGAACUUUAUAUAUAUUUCUGAAUGUUUACUCAACAAUUCCGUUUUCCAAUUUCAUUAUUUUGCAAUUGUUUUGGAACAAAAGUGGGCCCAGUUAUAGAGUCAUUAUAACAGUGAACCAUAGCCAGCAAGUAAAUCUAGAUGCUACUGAGUGGAUCCAGGCUCCAGCUUCCCACGUGUGGAAGGCUGAGAUCAACACCAUCUCUUCAAUGAACUAUAACUAUUCUGAGAGAGCAUUCAGUGAGCGUUCCCAUGGACUACAUAUUUCGUCGAUUUUUUAAACUAAAACAAAAGGCCAGCUUCAUUCUCUCCAUCUCUGAUCUCUUCUUCUUCUUUGUUCACCUCCCAAAUGGCUGUUUACUCUGAAUUAGAAGACAAUUAGUAAACCGUAGAGGUACUGAAGGAAUAUCUGAGAGGCAGAGCAGUCACAACAACACCUGUGACAUCACCGAAGAACCUAAGACUCUUCUGGAUAAAGAGAUUUUUCAGGAAAAGCCUAAUGGUGAUGUCACUGAGAACUGCCAUGGCCUUCCUGCAGAACAGCUUUCCUUACAUUGACAAGAUUAGAGGGUGCCCUUUCCAGGAGUGUGUCCUUUGACACAGUGGAAAAGAUUACAUACUACAUCUCAAUAAAGAAAGUGAUUUCUCUUUG